GAUGUUGAGAGUCAAAUUUGACCCUAUACAUCUGUGAUUCUUCCCAUUUUCUUCAUUCCUCUCUCUCUCACUUACAUCUUUGUCUUCUCUAUUACUCAUUUUCCUCUGCAGAAAGUUGUUGCACAUUAUGUACCCCAAAUUUGUCUACCCUUGUCCUUGUGGGUUGCACCUCCAAGAUUCAUUAACUCUGGAGAUCUUUGGGAGCGACUUAACAAAAACUCUUCCUGAAGAAAGUUGAUUAUCUUACCUUGAUGAUUCGAGGGCCACCAUUCAAGACUUGGGUUACCAUGUUGGCUAUUAUUGUCUUCCACACUAAAGAUAUAAGGUUGUUUUACUUUUUCUCCGAAUUGAAUAGUAAGACGGCAAAUAUUUUUCUGCUGUUUGACCUCAGUUCCGAUCUGGUAUGUCUUGGAUGGCGGUGUAGAAUGACUACAAAUUAAGAGUUCUUGAAGCUAAAAAGCAAAAACAACUUAUUGCUUUACAACUUUCAACAUGGAGGAGAAACGCAUAAUCUUCUUUUGAGAAGUAAUGUUUAUAGUUUGUGGAGUAACACUUGGCUAGAGAGAAUAGGUUGUCAACUAUUAUAUAUGUAUACUCUAUAUUAUGACAGUCUGCUACACAUCAAUCAUUUUAUAUACAUGCGCGCUGUAAUA